rnacentral:rRNA from 1 species
CGGCUUCCUACGGGAGGCAGCAGUGGGGAAUUUUGGACAAUGGGCGCAAGCCUGAUCCAGCAAUGCCGCGUGAGUGAAGAAGGCCUUCGGGUUGUAAAGCUCUUUUGUCAGGGAAGAAACGGUGAGAGCUAAUAUCUUUUGCUAAUGACGGUACCUGAAGAAUAAGCACCGGCUAACUACGUGCCAGCAGCCGCGGUAAUACGUAGGGUGCAAGCGUUAAUCGGAAUUACUGGGCGUAAAGCGUGCGCAGGCGGUUAUGUAAGACAGAUGUGAAAUGCCCGGGCUUAACCUGGGAACUGCAUUUGUGACUGCAUGGCUAGAGUGUGUCAGAGGGGGGUAGAAUUCCACGUGUAGCAGUGAAAUGCGUAGAUAUGUGGAGGAAUACCGAUGGCGAAGGCAGCCCCCUGGGAUAACACUGACGCUCAUGCACGAAAGCGUGGGGAGCAAACAGGAUUAGAUACCCUGGUAGUCCACGCCCUAAACGAUGUCUACUAGUUGUCGGGUCUUAAUUGACUUGGUAACGCAGCUAACGCGUGAAGUAGACCGCCUGGGGAGUACGGUCGCAAGAUUAAAACUCAAAGGAAUUGACGGAAGC